rnacentral:rRNA from 1 species
GACGAACGCUGGCGGCGUGCUUAACACAUGCAAGUCGAACGGAAAGGCCCUGCUUUUGUGGGGUGCUCGAGUGGCGAACGGGUGAGUAACACGUGAGUAACCUGCCCUUGACUUUGGGAUAACUUCAGGAAACUGGGGCUAAUACCGGAUAGGAGCUCCUGCUGCAUUGUGGGGGUUGGAAAGUUUCGGCGGUUGGGGAUGGACUCGCGGCUUAUCAGCUUGUUGGUGGGGUAGUGGCUUACCAAGGCUUUGACGGGUAGCCGGCAUGAGAGGGUGACCGGCCACAUUGGGACUACGGUACGGCCCAGACUGCAACGGGAGGCAGCAGUGGGGAAUAUUACACAGUGAGAGGAAGCCUGAUGCAGCAACGCCGCGGGCGGGAUGACGGCCUUCGGGUUAAGAACCGCUUUCGCCUGUGACGAAGCGUGAGUGACGGUAAUGGGUAAAGAAGCACCGGCUAACUACGUG